GGGGGUUUAGCUCAGCGGCAUAAGCACCUGCCUUGCAAGCAGGUGGUCAGAGUCCAAGCCCCA
rnacentral:tRNA from 1 species